UUGCACAACAAGCUUUCACUGAGAUAUUGGUAGAAGGAUCUCGUCUGUAAUAAGAACAUUCAUUCCAGGAGAAUAGGUCUGGGCUGAUGUGGUGAUGUGGAUAGAUCCACCUGCAUACCUGCCGUCAUGUUCAGAGCAGCAGGAGAGAGACAACGGAGGGGAGGAGUCGUGUGAACAUCUACUGAAGGCUUCCUGAGAUCACAGAGGCAUGGGUUAAGACAGCAGAGUCACAAGCUGGAAGAAGAAUGGAUCUUGAACCACCACAUGGAUGAGAUCCGCUCUGGAGAUCAUGCAACCUGUAUCAGGUGUGCCCCAGUCAUUAGCAACAGUAGAUGCUUGGUGAAGACUGCUGGCCUGGCCCCACUCAGGAUGAAUAUGCGAGGGGAAUGCUUAGGAAAUAUAAGUGUGUAUGUGCUGACUGAUUUGCUCUAGAAACCAGAGCUUUACAAAUGAAUUAAGUCUUUCACCAGAUCCCAUAUUCCUAUGAUGUUUGGAAGAACAUGUUCACAGUCAAGUGAAUGUACUCUGACACAUGGCAGGACAGGGAGGCCCCUUUGGUUUUAAGGCACUGACUCUGUCUUUGGAAGAUAGUUAGCAGACAGGUUCUGAAAGAUCAAUGCCUAUAAGGAAAAUCCUCAGCAUCUCUGAGGGCAAUUUGUUGGCCAGAAAUGGGUGUAAUUUAAAGUGCUGAGGAAUCAAAAUGGAACAGCCUACUGACCAAUUCGUUUUUCUUCUUCUUCUUCUUCUUCUUCUUCUUCUUCUUCUUCUUCUUCUUCUUCUUCUUCUUCUUCUUCUUCUUGCGAUGGAGACUGGAUCAACAGCUUCCUUAAAAACCUCUGCCAGAUGGCACCACGAAGGAGAACCCCUCCAAAGACAAUAAAUAAAUGCCACGAGAGAACACUUGGGGGCCGGAGCAGCAGCGGGCUCUUGCUUGUGCACGACCACGACUGCAACAGCUACACCGGGAUCCUGGCUUGUAAAAUUACCUUGGCUGCUUCGCUAUGUAAAAUGUGAAAAGGAAACAAGUCAUCUUCCUGAUGCAUGAGCUCACCGCUUAUCUAAAAUCAGUUACACACUGCGAAACACCCUCUUUUACCCCCUGCCUAGCGACUCCCAUUAGUGCACAAUGUAAUUUCACAGCUAGCGCUUGAGGAACUUUCUGGAAGCAUUUUAGGUUGAAACAGUGAAGUAGAGGGUGGCAUGGGUCUGGUUAAUUUCAGAAUAUUGAAGUGUUGGAAUUACAAUGUGAUGACAGGAUUCAUCAGAAGGAUUUAUUUCUUUGGGCCUGUGGCCUAAUGAAUUGGAAAAUAUUUUCCUAUGUCUUCUCCUUCGACUCUAAAUUAAAGUGACACAUUUUAUUAAAAAAAUGUCAUUUUUACAUAUUAAUGUAUGAAUUAUGGUAUGGUACAUAUGACAAUAAUGUCAUCUGGGUGAAACAUUCUAGUGAUCUCUCACAUUGAUUUUCAUCUCACUUAGAAGUGAGAACACAGAAUGAAAAAGUAUCUAUGGAAAGCUUUAUUAUGUGUGUAUGUUAUCCAAAUACACUGUGUAAAUGUGCAGGGAUUUUAUGUGACGGCUCAUAUAUACAUCUGCCUAGGCCGUGUGCAUGGGGAUGUGAGCACAUGAACUCGUACUACACCGUGGGGAGAAGAGAGAAGAGGACUCAAAUAAAAUCUGUUCCCUUUUCGGCUCAGGGUCAUAGCAAUAAAAUCAUCCAAAAUGGCACAGUUAAUGGGAAUUGCAGGGCAACUGAUGGUGGAGACCCGGGUUAACUCUGGCCCUCCGUGUUCCAUUCCAGAUACAUUGAAGAAUUCUUCUGCUGGUCAAUCUCAGCACCCAAUGUCGGAAUGACAUUGCUGCAGUUGCCUACACACAUUUGCAAUUGACAGAUCCUGUCAAUAGCAUGAGUUACUCUCACUACAUAAGCAAAGCCGGAAAUAUUGAGACCAAUAUGAACUGGAAGUUACCUGAUGGGGCCAAAACAAUUCUCUGUGGAUUGAAAACACGAAGGUUGAGAGGUGGACAUGAAGGCCUGAGAAGAGACAACCCCUGGGGAUACAGAUGUGUGAGAUAUUUAGCAAUUUAUUUAAGUCGGUAUCUACAUGUAUCUACUUGUACACCUAUAUCUGAGUUAACUCCAUAAUACCUGUGUCUGUAUAUCUGUAUACUUAUGUCCAUUAACAAAUGAUCUGGAAAUUUGAUAGAUGCUAAGAACACAGUUGUUACAAAAAGAAGAUAAUCAGCUAUCUUUAAUGAACCUAUUAAGAUCAUAUUUCUCUAGUAUCAGUGAUAACAAUUUUAUUAAUAAUAGUGUCAUAUUGGUGAUUCCCUAAAUCAUGGUGCCUAAACAAUGGUUUAGACCACUGAAAUUUAUUUGUUAAAAAUAACCAUACAAGUCUAAUUCAUGAUUGUAAACAAGAUGGUCUAAAUUUUGGAAUCCACUAGAGUUCCAUCCUUGGCUCUUCUUCAAGCAUCAUCUAUUCUUUACGGGUGACCUCAUUUACUAUGUCAGCUUCGACUGGUCUGUAUACACCAUCAGCCACUGAUUCUGCAUCCAUCAUUCCUCCUGUUCCUGGAUUCUCUUCUUCAUUGUAAAUACCUACUGGACACAAGUGUUUAUCAUCUGAAACUCAGUGUAUCACCUGAAUCCCAACAAAUCCAAUAAAUCUCUCCUCACUUUGCCCUUUUGGCUCUCUCCUACUCUGCUCUUGUGGUAUUUAUGUAGUUAAGGACAUUCGUAUUCACAGCUGCCAAAAUUGUAAUUCCUCCAUCAGACCUCACAACCAAUAGUUCAUUAAGACCUCUAAGUCCACCUUCCAGAAAUCAUCAAAUAUAUUCCCUCUUCUCCAUCUCCUGCCAGUGUCUUUGUUCAGCAAUACUUUCUUUUGCCUGCAAUAUUGCAGUGGCCUCUUUCCCUUCCUGUUUCUACUUGCUACUAUAUUAGUUUGUGCUUCAACCUCCUUCAAAUAUUAUCUUUCCAAAAGACAAAUCUAAUCUUGUCACUUCCUUGCUUAAAAUCCUUAGGUGGAAAUCAGUUGUGAAUUAUUUACAUCUAUCCACCACCUUCUUUUCCAGGACCACCUACCACCUUCUUCUCCCCAACAAGCACCCUGUGCUCUAUCAACUCUGAAAUGUUGGGCUCUUCAAAAUUCCAGUCAUCACAUGCCAAUUUCUCUGCUUGGAAUGCUUUUCCCUUUGUUUUCUGGCUGAUUAAUUUCUCCUCCAUCAAUUUAAAUACUGUCCCCUCCAUGUUGUCUUCACAAGGUCUUCUACACAGUUAACCACACCUUCUCCUGAGCUCCUAAUGGUGAGCUCAGCACACUGAAUCAUCUUUCCUAACUAAAUGGUGACCCCCUCAGGCCCAUGAGCAUACUUAUUCUUCGGGGUGAGAGGAGUAAUAGUAACAUCUAACCCAGUGCUUGAUUGAUAUGUUUGAUAGAUGUCUGUUGAGUGAAGAAAUGAUCAAAUAGGUGACCUUGGGCCCUCUGAGUCCUUGACAUGAUAAAGGAGGUGAGAGAGGAGAUAAUGUAAUAUAAAUAUAAAAAAAAUUCAGAUUAGGAACAGUCAUAGCCAAGUUACUGUCCAGGUUUUGUUUUGUGUUCUGAAAGAUAAAUAAAUUUCUCCAAGACUCCAAGUCACCAUUUUGUGAAUUAUUAACAAAAUACAUCAUUACCCAGGCCUGGAGUUGAAAACCUCAUGUCAUGAUUUUAAAUUCACAGCAUAUAAUUUUCAAAAAGCAGUAUAAUUCAAUGAUCAAGUUGUAU